AUCGCCCGAUAGUUGGUGAGGGCGGAUGUGCAGAAUGUGUAUGAUCAGACCACCUCAACUAUGAGCAUUGGCGAUUUACACGAUUUGGGUUUACAGUAGCUGUUUUUAUUCAAUGAUGACAAUGAGGAUUUUCUCACAAGCAUGUGAGGAUCACACAUUUCGUGAAAUUAAACUGGGAGAUGAUAAAAUGGAUAUCGACACGGCCGCGAGCCUAGAUGUAGUGAAUUCUAAUUUGAACUUCACCACGCGUUGAAAUUGUCAGGUGGUGUUCAAUAAUUUAUUUACACAGAACAGUUUUUAAAAAUAUGCAAAUGAUGGUUCCGCCCACUGGUGUAUCUCCAGUUAUUGUACACUUUUUAUAAAAGGAAAAACACCACGGCCAUGAUACAAGUAUCAUUGUAUCUGUUAUUGCAUCUCCACAACUAAAAUGCCUCUCUUAAUAGUCCGCAUCAGGAAGUAUCUUAAAGUGGCUUAUUCCUAUAUAAACUCAAGAUAGUAAAAAUAAACGCUGAAAAAAUGUGAUAAGCUUUCCAUGAAACAAUAGAACAGUUUUCCUGUGUUAAUCUACGUUUUCCUUUCUGUUAUAACUGGAAUGCUGUUCAGACCACGAUAUUAUUUAAUAAAGAAUAAUUCUAUGCGAUGGCAUUUCAAAACGAUGACAAUGCGUGAUAUUUGUUGUUUAGUACGUGUGUGUUAGUUAUUGAUACGGAUACAUCACUGAAUCCAUGAUUUCCGAAAAUGUACCAAAAUCAAAGUUACCCUUUGGAGAAACUGUCAUUGGCUGGGUAUCGUCAUAUAAGGUUGACAACAAUGGCUGAUCUGCAUAUAAUGACUGCUAGUUAUUGGCUGGUAUGCAGUGAAAGGGAGCUAAAAAGGAGUAAAAAGUUCAUAUCAGCCAGGUAGUGUGGCUUAAAUAAACCAGUGUUAAGAAAUAUCCAGUUGAGUAAUGGCAUGACAUCAUGAGAGUUUGGCAUACCGACAUUCAGAUGAUUAAUGAUGAAACUGAAGACCUCAGGUGAAAGGCAUGGAAAAUGAUCCUGUUCCCAUAUAACUGAAAAAGAGGAGGGAUGCCACAAUAUUGAUAAUAGACUUUUGUCAAUUUGAGAAGCAAAGAUGUAAAAAAACAAAAAUAAUAAUGCUGAAAUUAUAAUUCAUGUAUUUGUUAAAAAUACUGUUCACUGUACAUACAUGUAUAUUUUUUUUAACUUAUUUGGAAAUACAUGAAGUAAUUCAUAUUAAAACUGUGAAUGUAUGAGUUUUCAUGAUUUUAUUUAUAUUUAAGUCAAUUCACCUUUUUCAAACUUUUGAUGCAUAUGAUGGAUUUCCUCUGCAUUGCUAUAUCUAUCAGGCCCAGCACAAUCUCUAUAUUUAGGUAUAUAGUUUUAUAAAGCUAUUUCAAACAGCUUCAUUAAGCUAGUUUCGAUUAAAUUUCUAAAGUGCAAUGACACAUAACAAUAUACAUGUACUUUGAACUAACCACAACACUAUUCUAGGUAUAGAUCAUAUGUCAUUUUAAGAAUUUUCAUGAAAAGAGAAUUUCUUUUGUAUUGAUAACUGUCCACUACCUUGUGUGUGUCGAAGCUUUGAUAAGUAUAUGAUGACUUUACAAUGUGGAAUCUGUAACAACUUAAUAAUCCUAAACAUUUGACAAUUUUGAAUCAAAAUUCUUCCUAAGGUACAUAGUUUAAGAA